rnacentral:rRNA from 1 species
AGUGAACGCUGGCGGUAGGCCUAACACAUGCAAGUCGAACGGCAGCACAGUAAGAGCUUGCUCUUACGGGUGGCGAGUGGCGGAUGGGUGAGGAAUACAUCGGAAUCUACUUUUUCGUGGGGGAUAACGUAGGGAAACUUACGCUAAUACCGCAUACGACCUACGGGUGAAAGCAGGGGAUCUUCGGACCUUGCGCGAUUGAAUGAGCCGAUGUCGGAUUAGCUAGUUGGCGGGGUAAAGGCCCACCAAGGCGACGAUCCGUAGCUGGUCUGAGAGGAUGAUCAGCCACACUGGAACUGAGACACGGUCCAGACUCCUACGGGAAGCAGCAGUGGGGAAUAUUGGACAAUGGGCGCAAGCCUGAUCCAGCCAUACCGCGUGGGUGAAGAAGGCCUUCGGGUUGUAAAGCCCUUUUGUUGGGAAAGAAAAGCAGCAGGUUAAUACCCCGCUGUUCUGACGGUACCCAAAGAAUAAGCACCGGCUAACUUCGUG